UGAAGUGGGUAGAAAUAUUGGCUAACAAGUCGGUAUACCUUCUAGAAGCCUCCAAAAUUGAAAUAUUCAGCAACCGUCGCAGAUUCUCAGUAAUAUAUAAAUAUUAUUAUUUUUUAAACAACCAAAAAGCCUCAAAUCAAAUUUCAUUUCUCUCUGUAUCUCCCGUCCUGUUGAAACCAUCCCUGACCUGAAACAUGUCGUCCGACGGGAACGUCAACGGCGGCGCCGGCGCUAACUCCCUCGUUACCAAUAAACCUUUCUUCUGCUACCAAUGUAACCGUACUGUCACCGUCACUAUAGCGUCCUCCGAUCCCUCUUGUCCCAUAUGCCAAGGUGGCUUCCUCGAAGAAUACGAAAACCCUAUCCCUAAUCAAGCUUCCAACUUCCGUAACCCGAAUCCAGUUUCCCACUCCUCCUCGUCGUUAUCAGAUCCGUUCUCUUCCAUCCUCCCCCUCCUUACGGCUAUGAAUUCUUCACCAUCUCCUGCUUAUGUUGACCUUGAGAGCACAGGCUUAUUCGAGUCGACCGUGACAACUCGAGCUGACCCGUUCGCUUUCGAUCCGUUUACCUUCAUUCGGAAUCAUCUCAGCGAUCUUCGUUCAAGCGGGGCGCAAAUCGAGUUUGUGAUCCAGAACAGCCCAUCCGAGUCAGGCUUUCGGCUUCCGGCAAACCUCGGGGAUUAUUUCAUCGGCCCAGGGCUCGAGCAAUUGAUCCAACAGCUAGCCGAAAAUGAUCCGAACCGGUACGGGACCCCACCAGCAUCGAAGUCGGCCAUCGAUUCGCUACCGUCGGUGAAGAUAACAAAGGAUCACUUGAGUUCAAAGUCCAACCAGUGCGCAGUUUUCAUGGAUGAUUUCGAGGAAGGGAUUCAAGCGAAGCGGAUGCCCUGCAGGCAUCUUUAUCAUAAGGAUUGCAUAUUGCCGUGGCUGGAGCUUCAUAAUUCGUGCCCUGUGUGCCGUCACGAGUUGCCUACGGAUGACCCUGAUUAUGAGAGGAGGGUUCGUGGGGCACAGGGGACUAAUGGAGGUAACGAUGGUGCUGAUACUGGUGGGAGUGGGCAGAGGUCUGCAGGGGAUAAUCAGACGGCGGAGAGGAGUUUUAGGAUAUCGCUGCCUUGGCCAUUUCAAGCUCGAGCGUCUGGCUCAGGAUCAGCUGAUAAUGCGGAGACCAGACAAGAAGAUUUGGAUUGAUGAUCACAUUUUAUCCCUAUCUUGACAAGGACUAGAUGGAAAGGAGAAGAUAUCUGACCUUGCUUGAAAUCCAGCAAAACAUCAGCAUUUAUUUCAUGGGCACAUGAUGAUAAGAAACCUCUUUCAAAGUUGGGAAGCAGAGUUUUGUAUAAACAUGGAGAAUUGAGAUCAGUAUGGGUUAUGUUUAAGAAAGUUCUUGCUUGUAUUCAGCAUUAUAUGUACAUUAAUCUGAAGUUUUUCACAGCUUUGUUUAUCAGUGACAGCUUACUUUUACUCUUUUCAUACAUUCUUUGGUCCCUGCCCAAUCCUCUUUCAUCCCAACUCUAUGCAGUUCUGUCUUGGAAGAGAUCAGUAAGUAGAAUCGAUGAAGAAAUGUCAUAGAAGUUCAGUUUACUUAGCUAUGAUGUUCUCAAGAAUACGAUCUUUUUAUGGACCUUCCAAAAAAGGAAAAAGUAAA